ACUGAAUGAGAUAAAUCAAUAAGAAGUAACAUGCUGUUAAACAGAAGCUCCUAAGGGAAAAAAAAAAAUUAAUAAAUAAUUCUGAUGACAUCUCAGACUGACAGAGUUCCCCCACCCAUGACAGGACAGAUUUCAAGAAGAAGGAUCUCCACAAUUACAUCCCGACAAAAAGGAUUGAGAUGUCGUCUGUCUUCUAUUUCUCUUCUGAAACCAGAGUGAUGGGAAGUUAUUGAAAGUGAGCUCUGUGCACACUCUUCAAUCAAAAAUGGUUGAAAGACAAAGCAGAACUACAAGCCAGUGGCUGUAAACUCACCUGGAGUGACAGACUCAACCUAUCUGCAGCGCUGCUGAAUGUGAGGAACCAGAUUCGGUCUUACAAUAUGACAGCGAUUCUGGUUUCUGUUAUUUGCUUGCUGGUUAUCUCAAGCCAAAGUGACUCUGCAGAGAACCUCACAUCAUAUGACACCAGUCAACUACAUACUGUUUAUCUUCACUGCAGGAUAAUAAAGAGAAACAAAGCUAUCUGGCCUAAAUUGCAGGACAGCCUGCAAUUUGACUUGCGGUUUUUCAAGGACUUCUGCACUCCACAGUUCAGCACCUACAAGAAAAAAGGUAUAAUUUAA
rnacentral:lncRNA from 1 species